rnacentral:rRNA from 1 species
UUUAUUGAGAGUUUGAUCCUGGCUCAGGACGAACGCUGGCGGCGUGCCUAACACAUGCAAGUCGAGCGAGGAGAUUCCCUUCGGGGAUGAACCUAGCGGCGGACGGGUGAGUAACACGUGGGCAACCUGCCUGAAA